rnacentral:misc_RNA from 1 species
GGGGGUUUGGGAGUUGGGAUUCUUUCUAUUCCAUGAGAAGCAUUGAGAGUACACCAAGCUUGUAUCAAUCGCAUAAGAGUUAGAUUUGGUGUUAGGUCACAAUCUGAGAUGACUUGUUUUGUGACUGGACAUGUAUCAUUCUUCCCUGAGAAUAGCCAUUUCUCUAUGCUCUCGCGAUCAUAAGUUAUCCCAGUUGGCACAGUAACUGGGUCUC